rnacentral:rRNA from 1 species
AACAGGAUUAGAUACCCUGGUAGUCCACGCCGUAAGCGAUGUCGACUUGGAGGUUGUGCCCUUGAGGCGUGGCUUCCGGAGCUAACGCGUUAAGUCGACCGCCAGGGGAGUACGGCCGCAAGGUUAAAACUCAAAUGAAUUGACGGGGGCCCGCACAGGCGGUGGAGCAUGUGGUUUAAUUCGAUGCAACGCGAAGAACCUUACCUACUCUUGACAUCCAGAGAACUUAGCAGAGAUGCUUUGGUGCCUUCGGGAACUCUGAGACAGGUGCUGCAUGGCUGUCGUCAGCUCGUGUUGUGAAAUGUUGGGUUAAGUCCCGCAACGAGCGCAACCCUUAUCCUUUGUUGCCAGCGGUUAGGCCGGGAACUCAAAGGAGACUGCCAGUGAUAAACUGGAGGAAGGUGGGGAUGACGUCAAGUCAUCAUGGCCCUUACGAGUAGGGCUACACACGUGCUACAAUGGCAUAUACAAAGAGAAGCGACCUCGCGAGAGCAAGCGGACCUCAUAAAGUAUGUCGUAGUCCGGAUUGGAGUCUGCAACUCGGCUCCAUGAAGUCGGAAUCGCUAGUAAUCGUGGAUCAGAAUGCCACGGUGAAUACGUUCCCGGGCCUUGUACACACCGCCCGUCACACCAUGGGAGUGGGUUGCAAAAGAAGUAGGUAGCUUAGCCUUCGGGAGGGCGCUUACCACUUUGUGAUUCAUGACUGGGGUGAAGUCGUAACAAGGUAACC